GCAGAAUUUAUGCUAGCGUUCAAACCAUUUUUCUCCCAGCCAGAGAACCCACUUCUAAACAAAACUUUGCUUGGAAUCACAGAAUUUGAAUGCUGCUGAGGGAGAGGAAGCGAUGGGGUAGAUAUGGAGGAAAAGCCACAUGAAGACACAGCAAGAUGGCGGCAUCCGCACGCUAUGCAAAAAGCCCUCACCAAGAGUCAAACCUGCUGGUUCCUUGAUCUUGGACUUCCUGGCCCCCACAUCUAUGUCACUGCUAGAGUCCUCUAACUUCCCAAAGAUGAAAACAACUGAAAGAUGGCAGAGCAGAGAGAUGGAAAGAACAAACGUCCUGAGGAUAUCAUUGAACUGCUGAAUCAACCUCGCCUGAAGCUUGUCUUAACUGCGACCUUGCUUUUCAGUGAGGUCAUGAAAGAUCCUGGUUCCUGACUCUUGACUCACAGCUAAGCCAGCUUCAGCAGUCUCUACCCAGUCACUGACUACCACUGUGUCCUUGGGCAAGUCACUGAAUUUCUCGAACUCCGUUUUUGCACCAGAACCUAUUGCCAGGAUUAAACGACAAUAAGAAUGAAGCAUUUGAAAAUUUGCAGUGUCUGGUGUCUCGUAAGGAUGCAAAUGACUCCCAGGCAUGAUUUUUAUUAUAGGGCUUUGGGGCACCAUCAAGCAAGAAAGUGCAGGCCUGGGCUGAGAGUCAUAACUUAUGUACUUCUCUGUUUAUAGUUGUCGUCCUCUGGCUGUUCCUUCUAGAAAGUUACUAAAAACCGCUCCCCAAAACCUGUUUUUAUAAUG